GGGUUGUGAGGUUAAGCGACUAAGCGUACACGGUGGAUGCCCUGGCAGUCAGAGGCGAUGAAGGGCGUGCUAAUCUGCGAUAAGCGCCGGUAAGGUGAUAUGAACCGUUAUAACCGGCGAUACCCGAAUGGGGAAACCCAGUGUGACUCGUCACACUAUCAUUAACUGAAUCCAUAGGUUAAUGAGGCGAACCGGGGGAACUGAAACAUCUAAGUACCCCGAGGAAAAGAAAUCAACCGAGAUUCCCCCAGUAGCGGCGAGCGAACGGGGAGGAGCCCAGAGCCUGAAUCAGCAUGUGUGUUAGUGGAAGCGUCUGGAAAGGCGCGCGAUACAGGGUGACAGCCCCGUACACAAAAGCGCAUGUGCUGUGAGCUCGAUGAGUAGGGCGGGACACGUGGUAUCCUGUCUGAAUAUGGGGGGACCAUCCUCCAAGGCUAAAUACUCCUGACUGACCGAUAGUGAACCAGUACCGUGAGGGAAAGGCGAAAAGAACCCCGGCGAGGGGAGUGAAAAAGAACCUGAAACCGUGUACGUACAAGCAGUGGGAGCACAGGUUUACCUGUGUGACUGCGUACCUUUUGUAUAAUGGGUCAGCGACUUAUAUUCUGUAGCAAGGUUAACCGAAUAGGGGAGCCGUAGGGAAAC
rnacentral:rRNA from 1 species